rnacentral:rRNA from 2 species
GAGGAAAAGAAAAUAACAAUGAUUUCCCUAGUAACGGCGAGUGAAGAGGAAAGAGCUCAAAGUUGGAACCUGUUUGGCCUAGCUAAACCGGAUUGUAGACUGUAGAAGUGUUUUCCAGGCAAGCCGAGUAAAUAAGUCCUUUGGAACAGGGCAUCAUAGAGGGUGAGAAUCCCGUCUUUGGCUUGAGCAUUUGCCUUUUGUGAUACGCUUUCAAAGAGUCAGGUUGUUUGGGAAUGCAGCCUAAAUUGGGUGGUAAAUCUCACCUAAAGCUAAAUAUUGGCGAGAAACCGAUAGCGAACAAGUACCGUGAGGGAAAGAUGAAAAGAACUUUGAAAAGAGAGUUAAACAGUAUGUGAAAUUGUUAAAAGGGAACCGUUUGGAGCCAGACUGGCUUGUCUGUAAUCAAUCUAGGCUUCGGCCUGGAUGCACUUGCAGGCUAUGCCUGCCAACGACAAUUUGACUUGAGGGAAAAAACUAAGGGAAAUGUGGCCCACUUGUGGGUGUUAUAGUCCCUUAGAAAAUACCUUGGGUUGGAUUGAGGAACGCAGCGAAUGCUUUUUGGCGAGUUUUCCAGGAAGGUUUUCUGAGGUACUACGGUAUCAAGGUUGAUCUUUUUGGUUAUACUUCUAUUCGCUUAGGUUGUUGGCUUAAUGACUCUAAAUGACCCGU